rnacentral:rRNA from 1 species
GAUGAACGCUGGCGGCGUGCCUAAUACAUGCAAGUCGAGCGAACGGACGAGAAGCUUGCUUUUCUGAUGUUAGCGGCGGACGGGUGAGUAACACGUGGAUAACCUACCUAUAAGACUGGGAUAACUUCGGGAAACCGGAGCUAAUACCGGAUAAUAUUUUGAACCGCAUGGUUCAAAAGUGAAAGACGGUCUUGCUGUCACUUAUAGAUGGAUCCGCGCUGCAUUAGCUAGUUGGUAAGGUAACGGCUUACCAAGGCAACGAUGCAUAGCCGACCUGAGAGGGUGAUCGGCCACACUGGAACUGAGACACGGUCCAGACUCCUACGGGAGGCAGCAGUAGGGAAUCUUCCGCAAUGGGCGAAAGCCUGACGGAGCAACGCCGCGUGAGUGAUGUAGGUCUUCGGAUCGUAAAACUCUGUUAUUAGGGAAGAACAUAUGUGUAAGUAACUGUGCACAUCUUGACGGUACCUAAUCAGAAAGCCACGGCUAACUACGUGCCAGCAGCCGCGGUAAUACGUAGGUGGCAAGCGUUAUCCGGAAUUAUUGGGCGUAAAGCGCGCGUAGGCGGUUUUUUAAGUCUGAUGUGAAAGCCCACGGCUCAACCGUGGAGGGUCAUUGGAAACUGGAAAACUUGAGUGCAGAAGAGGAAAGUGGAAUUCCAUGUGUAGCGGUGAAAUGCGCAGAGAUGUGGAGGAACACCAGUGGCGAAGGCGACUUUCUGGUCUGUAACUGACGCUGAUGUGCGAAAGCGUGGGGAUCAAACAGGAUUAGAUACCCUGGUAGUCCACGCCGUAAACGAUGAGUGCUAAGUGUUAGGGGGUUUCCGCCCCUUAGUGCUGCAGCUAACGCAUUAAGCACUCCGCCUGGGGAGUACGACCGCAAGGUUGAAACUCAAAGGAAUUGACGGGGGCCCGCACAAGCGGUGGAGUAUGUGGUUUAAUUCGAAGCAACGCGAAGAACCUUACCAAAUCUUGACAUCCUUUGACAACUCUAGAGAUAGAGCCUUCCCCUUCGGGGGACAAAGUGACAGGUGGUGCAUGGUUGUCGUCGGCUCGUGUCGUGAGAUGUUGGGUUAAGUCCCGCAACGAGCGCAACCCUUAAGCUUAGUUGCCAUCAUUAAGUUGGGCACUCUAAGUUGACUGCCGGUGACAAACCGGAGGAAGGUGGGGAUGACGUCAAAUCAUCAUGCCCCUUAUGAUUUGGGCUACACACGUGCUACAAUGGACAAUACAAAGGGCAGCGAAACCGCGAGGUCAAGCAAAUCCCAUAAAGUUGUUCUCAGUUCGGAUUGUAGUCUGCAACUCGACUACAUGAAGCUGGAAUCGCUAGUAAUCGUAGAUCAGCAUGCUACGGUGAAUACGUUCCCGGGUCU